CAGCCGCCACGGGAAUACGAAGGGGGCUAGCGUUGCUCGGAAUGACUGGGCGUAAAGGGCGCGUAGGCGGAUUGGAUUGUCAGGCGUGAAAUUCCUGGGCUCAACCUGGGGACUGCGUUUGAGACGUCUGGUCCAGAGUUUGGAAGAGGGUCGUGGAAUUCUCAGUGUAGAGGUGAAAUUCGUAGAUAUUGGGAAGAACACCGAUGGCGAAGGCAAUCCCCUGGACCUGUACUGACGCUCAUGCACGAAAGCGUGGGGAGCAAACAGGAUUAGAUACCCGUGUAGUCCCUGUCUCUUAUAC
rnacentral:rRNA from 1 species